CGCGAGGAGCAAAUGUGCGCCCGCACGGCGAGGGCAGCCCGGGCUUCGCUGGUUCUCGCCGAGGUCUUUCCUCGUAGCGCCCACACUACGGGGAGGAAAAGGAAUGGAGUCAACUUCGUUCGAAUCCAACGCCAGCAAGUCAUCUUUGCACUCAUAACCACAUCUUUUAUGGAACAUCAAGCCUACUCUGAGGUACAGGCUUUCAGAAGCCUGAAUUUGGAGGACCAUGCCUGAACCAAAUGGAGUCUCCAGAAUCAAAACUGCUCAAAAUAAUCAUUCAUGGUUCUCAGACCAAAUAAGAUCUACUUAGAAACAUUUCUCGACAGCACGCUGCCAUGCCGACGCAGACCCCACUCUGCACGCCAGCCCCCCUGCACCCACCAUGGCCACAGUUCAGCAGCUAGAAGGAAGAUGGCGCCUGGUGGACAACAAAGGCUUUGAUGAAUACAUGAAGGAGCUAGGAGUGGGAAUAGCUUUGUGAAAAAUGGGCGCAAUGGCCAAGCCAGAUUGUAUCAUCACUUGUGAUAGCAAAAACCUCACCAUAAAAACUGAGAGCACUUUGAAAACAACACAGUUUUCUGGUACCCUGGGAGAGAAGUUUGAAGAAAACACAGCUGAUGGCAGAAGAACUCAGACUGUUUGCAACUUUACAGAUGGUGCAUUGGUUCAGCAUCAGGAGUGGGAUGGGAAGGAAAGCACAAUAACAAGAAAACUGAAAGAUGGGAAAUUAGUGGUGGAGCGUGUCAUGAACCAUGUCGCCUGUACUCGGAUCUAUGAAAAAGCACAAUAAAGAUUCCAUCAUCACUUUGGACAGGAGUUAACCAAGAGAAUGACCAAGCUCAGUUCAAUGAACAAA